rnacentral:tRNA from 1 species
GCCUGGCUAGCUCAAUGGCUAGAGCGUGAGACUUUUAAUCUCAAGGUUGCGGGUUCGACCCCCGCGUCGGGCUC